UACGUAGGGUGCGAGCGUUGUCCGGAAUUAUUGGGCGUAAAGAGCUCGUAGGCGGUCUGUCGCGUCUGCUGUGAAAACUCAGGGCUUAACCCUGAGCUUGCAGUGGGUACGGGCAGACUAGAGUGCGGUAGGGGAGACUGGAAUUCCUGGUGUAGCGGUGAAAUGCGCAGAUAUCAGGAGGAACACCGGUGGCGAAGGCGGGUCUCUGGGCCGUAACUGACGCUGAGGAGCGAAAGCAUGGGGAGCGAACAGG
rnacentral:rRNA from 1 species